rnacentral:rRNA from 1 species
GAUGAACGCUGGCGGCGUGCCUAAUACAUGCAAGUCGAGCGAACGGACGAGAAGCUUGCUUCUCUGAUGUUAGCGGCGGACGGGUGAGUAACACGUGGAUAACCUACCUAUAAGACUGGGAUAACUUCGGGAAACCGUAGCUAAUACCGGAUAAUAUUUUGAACCGCAUGGUUCAAAAGUGAAAGACGGUCUUGCUGUCACUUAUAGAUGGAUCCGCGCUGCAUUAGCUAGUUGGUAAGGUAACGGCUUACCAAGGCAACGAUGCAUAGCCGACCUGAGAGGGUGAUCGGCCACACUGGAACUGAGACACGGUCCAGACUCCUACGGGAGGCAGCAGUAGGGAAUCUUCCGCAAUGGGCGAAAGCCUGACGGAGCAACGCCGCGUGAGUGAUGAAGGUCUUCGGAUCGUAAAACUCUGUUAUUAGGGAAGAACAUAUGUGUAAGUAACUGUGCACAUCUUGACGGUACCUAAUCAGAGAGCCACGGCUAACUACGUG